GUCUUCUCACCUGGGGCCGGUUUUUUGGGGGGCUGUGAGGACGGGGCCUGCCACUCCCCUGGGCCUGGAUCCCGGCCUCUGCCCCGAAUGCUGGGGUCCUCAGUAGAGACGGCAGCGGCCAGAAGCAAGACGAGCUUUUCUGAGGCGACUCCCCUCCCCGCUCGUAGCCCCAGUUUCGGGGAGGGAGGGAUCUGUAAGGGGGAGGGGUGGAGGGAGAGUUUAGUCUCCCGGUAAGGAACGAUUCUGAGUUUAAUUUCGGAUUAUUGGUUUAGCUAGGCCGCGGGGGGUCGGAUGGAGUGGGCACAGGUAUGGGAAGUGUGACUCAGCUCAGGACUGUGAGGCUACUUGUUCAGGACAGUUGUGGCGUGCUUUUGCCUGGGAUUUCUUCGGGUGAUCGGCAUUGUGAUCUUUUGCCAUUCACUUUAUAUCUUAAGUGGAUUUAUAUUCCUAAGAAAGGAGAGAGUCGGGCUUGUUUCUGCCUACUGACCGCUUCUUGCCAGUACUUUAUGUCUAGAUGAAGUUUUAUGUUGAUAAGGUAUAGGGCAGGUGCCCUCAAAAUUUAUCCAUUUUAUUAGCCUGUGCCUUAUAUUUUGUUUUAAAGACCUAUUUUCCAGUGAUUUGUUUACCUAUUUCCUUAACCUUUUUCAAGAAUAAGUUCUUGUUUCUGUCAGUGGCUGUGUGAGAGCUAGAAUAAUAUUAAAAACACUUAUGCAUAAAUACAUUUGUUUAAGCAGGCAGGAAGGUGCAUGAUGGGGCCAAUUGGGUAUAGUUGAAAGAUGAACAGAACUUGACAAAGAAGAUAUCUUAGUAUAAUUUUUGAUACUAAGAAAGCAUUAGUAAGUAAUUUACAUUUCGAUUCUGUGAAUAGGAUCUGUUCCUGAUGUUCAUGUUUUAGCCCUUUGCAAGGAGAAAAAAGGAAACCAUGAGCUCGGUAACCUUUUUAAGGAAAAGCAGUUUUUCCUCUUGCUAUAAAGUGGAGAUGACAUGUUAAAGAAGAUUUACCACUGAUUGUGUAUGUGUCUCUAAUGCAUUGUUUUCACACGCUGAAAUAUUGGACAAAAUUAAAGUAUCUAAAGUUUAGGUAUUGGAGUUAGAGCUCCUGAAAAAAUUGUUUAGGUAGUGGAGAAGAGAUAUUCUGAUAAACUAAGGAAGAAGCUGAGAGAAUUGACAAGUAGCUGACGUUGAUUUGUCAGUUUUUCAACUUAAAAAAAGAUCCUGCCUUUUUUCAAUAAGUGUUCUCAUUGUGCUUUCAUUUAUUCGUAGCAUUGUAAAAACUUUUUUCACUUUUCAAAUAUAAAAUUAUUAUAAAGUUAAGUAUACUUCUUUAAAGCUGUUUUCUCCCAAUUCAAAUAGUCCUAAAGGAAGGGACCACUUUGCCUUGCUCAAAUCCCUUGAGCAGUCAUGGAGUUCCUCAUCUAGAAAAGGUAACAAGUAUGAAAAACAAGACAAUUCUGGAGAAACAAAUGAAAAGAUUAUGAAAGGCCAUUGUCUUAGGUGAAUUUGGUGAAAGAAGGCACUUGACGUUAAAUACACUGUGUUUCGUGUUUUUAAAAUGCACAUUUUCACAGUUUAACAUCUUUAAAAUCAGCAUGGCAAUUUCUUUUAUAGCAUAUGAAAUAAUGAUGAAUUCUAGAUGUAAUCUUAAAUUUGAUGAAAUGCAGUAUUUAUAAAUCUUUUUAGUUUAUCCUCCAUACAAAGUUCUGUGAGGAAAACUCUUAAAAUAUUUGUGAAAUUUACCUAUUUAAAAACAUAAAAUGACUCGAGGUAAAAUUAAUUAGCAAAUCACAAUGUAGUUGAAGUAGAACAAAACACAGUUUGACCAAAAUGAGCUAGAAGAGCACUAAGUCUUUGCUGGUUGAUUGAAUGCAUUAAUGAACAGGUAACAAAAUUAAAAACUAACUGUGAAUACUUUAUUGUGUGAAAAAGGAAACUGAAAAUAGAGUUACUUAAUAUCUAGAAAAUAACAUCAUAAUAUUAUAUAUGGAAUGUAACCAAAGCUGAAUAUAUUAGAAAAUCAAUAUCCUGAAUAACUGAGAGAUAAUAGAAAUAUUCUAUUUAAGAAUAUUAAAAAGGAAACAUGAAAUAAACCUAAAGAAACAGAAAGAAGGACUUAAAAUAGAUAACACUGAUGCUAACCUAUUAAAAGGAAAAAAAAAUUUUUUUUGAGACGGAGUUUCACUGUGUCCCCCAGGCUGGAGUGCAGUGGUGCAGUCUCAUCAUCUCACUGCAACCUCCACCUCCCAGGUUUUAGCGAUUCUCCUGCCUCAGCCUCCUGAGUAGCUGGGACUACAGGCUCCUGCCACCACCCCCAGCUAAUUUUUUUUAUUUUUAGUAGAGAAAAGUAAAUAAACCCAGGGGUACUUCUGGGUUAUCUUCAGGACUUUAAAUUUGAAAGUCACAGCAAGUUAAGAAUAUUACCCAAGAUCUAUGCCUUAUUUCAUGGGUAAAUACUUUCCAUCUUUCAGGAGCCUCUCCUUUUGAAAGUGUUCCAUUUCAUACAGAAAGAAGAAAGGCUUUCUAAUCCUCUUUAUGAAGCCAUGAAAACACUUAGAGAAAAAUCUAGCAAAGGGAACACUAAAAACAGUUUCACUUUUUAAUAUUGAUGUCAACAUUGUACAUGAAUUAUUACCAAAUGCAGUCUAAUGUUACAUUGAAAUUAUAAAACAUGACAGUGGAUUUUAUUAUAGAAAUAUAGUCAGUAUUAAGAAAUCUAUUAAACAGUGAAGGCAUUAAAAAACUAAUAGUGUUCAACAUUUAUCCUUGACUAAAGCUCUUACUAAAACAGAAAUAGGAUGCUUCCUUAACUUGAAAAACAUGUGAAAGCAUCAGCAGUGGUGAAACAUUGGGAUAAUUAGGGUGCCUGUUUAAGAUUUUUCCAAUAUACUAGUCAAUACAAUUGAUACAAAUGAGAUAUAGAAAGAAUGACAAAAUUAUCAGUAUGUGGAAAUAAAAUUUAUGAGAAAACUCAGUUAAUUGAAAAGUUAUUCAAAAUAAUAAAUGUUUAAUAAGGUGACCAGUUACAAAAUGCAAAAAUAAAAGCUUUUUAAAAAUGAAUGAUAGGUCCUGGUCUAUCAACGAUUGGGACUUGGUUAAAAAAAAAAAAAAAAGAAUGAUAGGAAAGUAUAAUUUA